AGAAAAAGUAGUUUCUCUGUAUCUCUUCAGCAAAAACAGUUGUCUUACAAUAACACACGUCACCUCCCGCGUCGCUGUAAUUACACGACAACAAUACACACGUCAACUCUUGUCGCUGUAGUUACACAACACCACCACAUGUCAACUCGUGUUGCUAUAGUUACACGACAAUGAUACCACACAUCAACUCCCGGGUCGCUGUAGUUACACAUCAUCACCCAUCACCUUGUGUCGCUGUAGUUACAUGACAAUGAUACCACACAUCAACUCCCGUGUCGCUGUAGUUACACAUUUUAAGAGCUGCUCCCAGCAGCUGGCCAACUCCCCAUGGGGGUCCCCAGGCCCCCCAGCUGGGUCUCAGGAAGGAACCACGGUGACUCACUGAGACUCAUCACUCUAUGUGACCAUGUUCAAGUGACACACUCGAAACCCACUGGUGAGAGCACAUAAUACUCUGUACUCUGUGCUUUUUAUUGUAAAAACAAUUUUUUUCAUUAGUAAAA